rnacentral:rRNA from 1 species
CUGGCGGCGUGCCUAAUACAUGCAAGUCGAGCGGACAGAAGGGAGCUUGCUCCCGGAUGUUAGCGGCGGACGGGUGAGUAACACGUGGGUAACCUGCCUGUAAGACUGGGAUAACUCCGGGAAACCGGAGCUAAUACCGGAUAGUUCCUUGAACCGCAUGGUUCAAGGAUGAAAGACGGUUUCGGCUGUCACUUACAGAUGGACCCGCGGCGCAUUAGCUAGUUGGUGGGGUAAUGGCUCACCAAGGCGACGAUGCGUAGCCGACCUGAGAGGGUGAUCGGCCACACUGGGACUGAGACACGGCCCAGACUCCUACGGGAGGCAGCAGUAGGGAAUCUUCCGCAAUGGACGAAAGUCUGACGGAGCAACGCCGCGUGAGUGAUGAAGGUUUUCGGAUCGUAAAGCUCUGUUGUUAGGGAAGAACAAGUGCGAGAGUAACUGCUCGCACCUUGACGGUACCUAACCAGAAAGCCACGGCUAACUACGUGCCAGCAGCCG